GACUCGGCGGCGGCGAGUAGUUAGUUAGUUGUUGUUAGUCAGUGUCAGUUGCUCGGCGGCGGCGCCGGCGGUCACCAGGAAGGGUACGGGACGGUCGGCGAAGGUGGUCACCGCGGCGGCGUGUGAGCCCCUCAGAUAUCAUUUCUGAGAAGAUAUUGAAAGAGUAAGAAAACAAUAUAUUCUUAGGGUUUAAGCACUACAGUUGAACUCCUGCUUGAAUUGACAGCAGAUUGAACUGUUCAGAGGAAAAGAAAUGGUGUCUGCCUAAACUGGAACUUAUGCUAUAAAUAUUUUUCUGUGGAUUUUUCUGAAAACCCAAGACCCUACAGCCCUAAGUUAAGAAUCUUGGGAUUAAUAUAAUGGUGUCAGCAGAAGACAUCUUGCUGUGGACCAAGGAGUGAAUUUGCUUGAGGGCAAAGACUAAAGGGAGGACAUCAUAGGUAAUGUUGCUGUGAGUGAGUAUACAAAUAUCUUCUCAAGACCUUGCUUUCAACUUUUUGGGGAAAAGAAUAAUUGAGGCCCAUUCCUAAGGAAAGAAAAGGAAGCAAUGACAUAAUGCCUACAGUUGGUGCCAGUUAAAUUGGUAAACACCACUAUCUUCAGAAAAUAAGGAAUGAGAGGCAAGGAAGAAAGGACAUUCAUUCAUCUUGGAAGAACCCAAAGCACUUUGAAAUCUGAAGGAAUGUAAUUAUAGCUGCUAAAACCACCUUUGUCACCGAAAUGGAUGAAGUACUUCAAAUUUAAAUGGUAACCAGAAUUCUCAUAUCAUGUUUCCACCAAGAACUUUAAAUCACUUGAAAGGAUUUCUUUUUAGCUUUAAAUAUUUACCUUAACAAAUACCAAAGUGCAAAUAGCUGAUAAUUUUAUAACUUAUUUAGCAUAGUUAGGAUUUUAUUUUCUCUUUUAAUGCUUUACCCUGAUAUUAGCUAAAAGAAUUGUUGCUUUUUCCCCCAGGUUAUCAACUUUUAACAUAGGAACAGAUAAGCCUUAUUUGAGUAAGAAUAUGGCAUAGUAUUAGUAUACUUACAGGUCUGUCCUUUGCCAGAUAUUUUUCCUUUCAUAAAAACAACUCAGGCAACAUAAACUGUAGUAUUCUAUCACAUGUAAAAGUGUUUUAUAAUCUUACUUUCUGAACUUUAUUUAGUAUUUUUUUUUAGUUUCCUUAUGUGACAUCUGGUCUCUUGAUCUUUUUCCUUUCAUAUCUGGCAUCUUAUUUUAAUUUAAUCUUUAUUUUAUCCUCUCCCCUUCCUUCUCAGGAAUUUAGGUUUAUAAAAGACACCAGGUUUUAAGUGUUCUGUCAUUAAAAAAGAAAAAAAGACACAAGGAUCCAAAAUGGAAAAGGAGAGAGAAGUUUGAAAAAAUUAUAGAAUUAUUUCUUAUUGUGAAGUCACAGUGAUUGUUACAUUUUAAGUAGAAUGGAAAGCAAUUACAGAAAGACUUAAAAUUCUUUGUCAGUCUUCUCAAAUCUCCUUGAUCUUAGGUCAAAAUUGUUUCAACACAUGUUUUGUAAAAACUCAAAUGUUUGCAACUUUUAAUGGCAUCCUAGUGAACAAUUAGAAAUUUUAUUCAUUGGAAAAGUCUAUUAAUUUGGUUUUGGGGGAUAACUUUGUUUGCUUGAGUCAUUGUGUCUUGGUAGUGAAUGAAUGAAAUUGAGUAAAACUAGGUCCUUGCUGUGAAAUCAGAACAUGUGAAAAAUCAAAUACAGCCCUAAUCAAUGACUAAUCCUAAUGAUUCUAAGGAAUGUAGGACCUAUUAUUUCAGGAAAAUGAUUUAAAUUGGUAAGUGUAACCCAGGAUAAGUAGUAUGUAAGGAAUGUUCCCUGUGCUAACAUUAACGUGGGUAGGAAAUACCUUAACAUUGAUUUUUUUCUUUUUAAUUAUCCAAUUAUUGGUUAAGCUUCUACUUAUGGCAUUGUUAGGAAUUUCUGUAUGCUUGUCACUACCUCCCAGCAUUUAGCAUUUUAAAAAUAUUGAGCAAAUUCUUUCUAGUCCACAACUAUUAAAAAAUUAUACAAAGUUGAAGAAAGUAACUUUUGAAACAUAGCAAAAACUUAAGUGCUGAAUAUUCAGUUAUACAGGCAAAUAGUACAUAGAAAGUCACUGGGGAAUUCCCUGGAGGUUCAGUGCUUAGGAUUCAGCACUUUAACUGCCUUGGGCCUGGGUUCUAUCCCUGGUCAAGGACCCAAGAUCCCACAAGCCACGUGAUACAGCUAAAAGAAGAAAGAAAGUCAGCAAACUUCCAUGUCUUCUCCACUAAUGAUCUAAGUUUUCUUUAUCCAUUUGAUUGUAUCUGAUUCUAUAACCUUGUAUAACCACAGCUUCAUUAAUGAACCCAAAACAAACAAUAUUGUCAAAGUUUUUAUCGUGAUACAUUUACCACUCCUUACCAAACAUUUAUUUCCAUUUAAAUUCAUCUUUCAGUGAUUUGGAGGGC